ACUACGGGUGGCAGCAGUGGGGGAUAUUGCACAAUGGGGGAAACCCUGAUGCAGCGACGCCGCGUGUGGGAAGACGGUCCUCUGGAUUGUAAACCACUGUCCCCAGGGACGAAGAUGACGGUACCUGGGGAGGAAGCUCCGGCUAACUACGUGCCAGCAGCCGCGGUAAUACGUAGGGAGCGAGCGUUGUCCGGAAUUACUGGGUGUAAAGGGAGCGUAGGCGGGACUGCAAGUUGGGUGUCAAAUCUACCGGCUCAACCGGUAGCCGCACUCAAAACUGCAGUUCUUGAGUGAAGUAGAGGCAGGCGGAAUUCCUAGUGUAGCGGUGAAAUGCGUAGAUAGUAGGAGGAACACCAGUGGCGAAGGCGGCCUGCUGGGCUUUUACUGACGCUGAGGCUCGAAAGUGUGGGGAGCAAACAGGAUUAGAUACCCGGGUAGUC
rnacentral:rRNA from 1 species